GAUGAACGCUAGCGGCAGGCUUAACACAUGCAAGUCGAGGGGCAGCAUAAUGGAUAGCAAUAUCUAUGGUGGCGACCGGCGCACGGGUGCGUAACGCGUAUGCAACCUACCUUUAACAGGGGGAUAACACUGAGAAAUUGGUACUAAUACCCCCAUAAUAUCAUAGAAGGCAUCUUUUAUGGUUGAAAAUUCCGAUGGUUAGAGAUGGGCAUGCGUUGUAUUAGCUAGUUGGUGGGGUAACGGCUCACCAAGGCGACGAUACAUAGGGGGACUGAGAGGUUAACCCCCCACACUGGUACUGAGACACGGACCAGACUCCUACGGGAGGCAGCAGUGAGGAAUAUUGGUCAAUGGACGCAAGUCUGAACCAGCCAUGCCGCGUGCAGGAUGACGGCUCUAUGAGUUGUAAACUGCUUUUGUACGAGGGUAAACGCAGAUACGUGUAUCUGUCUGAAAGUAUCGUACGAAUAAGGAUCGG
rnacentral:rRNA from 1 species